rnacentral:rRNA from 1 species
AACGAACGCUGGCGGCAUGCCUAAUACAUGCAAGUCGAACGAUCACUUCGGUGAUAGUGGCGCACGGGUGCGUAACGCGUGGGAAUCUGCCCUUGGGUUCGGAAUAACUUCUGGAAACGGAAGCUAAUACCGGAUGAUGACGUAAGUCCAAAGAUUUAUCGCCCAAGGAUGAGCCCGCGUAGGAUUAGCUAGUUGGUGGGGUAAAGGCCUACCAAGGCGACGAUCCUUAGCUGGUCUGAGAGGAUGAUCAGCCACACUGGGACUGAGACACGGCCCAGACUCCUACGGGAGGCAGCAGUAGGGAAUAUUGGACAAUGGGCGAAAGCCUGAUCCAGCAAUGCCGCGUGAGUGAUGAAGGCCUUAGGGUUGUAAAGCUCUUUUACCCGGGAUGAUAAUGACAGUACCGGGAGAAUAAGCUCCGGCUAACUCCGUGCCAGCAGCCGCGGUAA